GGAGAGAUGGUUCAGCGGGUAAGAGUACUGACUGCUCUUCUGAAGGUUCUGAGUUCAAAUCCCAGUCACCACA
rnacentral:tRNA from 1 species